CUGGGGCCUCUGGGCCCCUCUCCAACCUGGAGAAACACCAUUGGGGAAGGAAUUCUCAGCAGCGCUUAUUUGAAUUCUCCCUUUGCCGGAGCUGCCGGGCUGCUCCAUCACUGGAAGGAAGUUACUGCCCAACCAAAGGGCCUGGGCUGGCAAGUUGCUUCCCUGCAGGGCCCUGGACAUGGCACUUGCCUCCUCAGCAUAAGGAGGGGGUUAGGAGCCUGCAGAUUCAGGUUCAAAUUUCAGUGCAGACGUUUUCUUGCUCUACUUCCUUGACCAGCUCUUGUGGAGACCAAUGUGUCAGUAAAGCACAAAAUGAAGGUGUAAAUGCUUAAAAGCUGCAGACAGCAUGCCUUGCAGAUUGCUCAACAGCAGUAAUAGGACACUUCUGACCAGAUGGAGUGUCUGUGACUCAAGGGCAGAUAAUCCAAUGCAAUUGCUCACAAAUGUCCAAUGUGCCAGGCAGGGCACCUGGUACUGGGACACCAGUGACAAAGACAUGGUCCCUGCCCUCGGGACAGGAUGCUGUAAUGAGAACACAGCGUGACAGGCCUUGUUGGAACCACAUGAAAAAAGCCUCGAGGGCUCCUACAGAGGCCAGCCGGCAUCGCCCUGGGGGGCUUCCAAGGGGAGGCUGGCAGGAGCAGGCGGCGACACUGGAGUGUGGCUAUGAAGAAUAAGCGGGAGCUGGCCAGGCAGACGCGCUUCUGGUGCUGCUGAAGCACACACGCCAUGAGGGGCUGUGAUGCCUGAGCCAAGGCACAGCAGAGAGGAGGGGGCAGCCUGGUGCAGAGGACGGAGGGCAGACACCGAGGACCUGGUGAGCUGAGACUGCCCAAGGCAGGAGGGCAGCCACCAUUACAGAACAACUGGCAAGCCCGUGAGAGUCUCAUUUCUCCGGCCCUUCCCAUGGCGGCCCUCAUAGCUGUAGCUGAUGCUUAUUGCGCUCUGACAAGGCACAGCGUGCCUCCAACCACUUAAGGGGACUCAGAUGUCAUCUCCUCUGUGCUGCCCUCCUGGAUGGAUCCUUCGACUCAGUGGAAGUGACCCUCCUGUUCACCACACUUUUCUGGCAGAGACUUAUCAGAGCAUCUCUACGGAACAUCUCACUGUGUGUGCCAGGGUCCUGUCAGCUCUCUCCCCAGACCUUAAGCUGUUUGAGAACCAGGGGGCAGGUCUGAUGCUAAGCACAGAGCCAGGCACACACACAGAUGAAUGGAACAGUAAAAGACGUGUAGAAGACCCUGUAGACAGCAGUUAGCCUGUGGGAGGAGACACAUGACCCGUAAACCACAUGAUCUCUAAAAUGCCUGCCUUCCCUGGCCUGAAA